CCUUUGCGAGUCCUGCCAGUCUGCAAGGCAGGCAAGGUGUUAAAGAAAAGGAGGGACAGGUGGAGAUACCAGGAUCUUUGGCCGAAUCGGAUAUUGUUCGAUAUCAAAAUGGCGGAGUUCGUGAGGUCUACAGUUGAGGUACUAGUUUUUAAAUAAAGACAAAUGACCAGACAUAUCGGAUUACAAGGGGAAAAAUUUACUGACAGGUAAGUUUAAUUGAAAAUUUCAACCGCACUUGCACACAUUUAUACAGUGUCGAGAGAAUGACGUAAAUGAAAACAUAUUUUUUUGUAAAUAGCCAAAAUAAUGCAGAAUAUAAUUUUUAAACAAAA